rnacentral:lncRNA from 1 species
CUGUCAUCCCUGCUGGAGAAGGUCCGAAGCACCUCCACCUCUGUGCUUCCAGAGGGGCACUGUGGUGGCCACUUAAAAUGCUCAGGCUAUACCAUGCACUAGAGCAUCUACCUGGGCAAGGGAUAUGCUGUAUGACACUCUCCUGAUGCUGGGCAUGGCUGUGAGCCAAAGCACCCAGGCAGCCCUGCCAUCAGAAGGGUAAACCACGGACACCUGAUGCCUUCCUGAAGGAAGAGCACUACGCCUGCCAAACCAUCAAGCGUUGAUGCUCCAGCGCCUUCUACCCGUGGUUCUCCAGCCUCAGCAGAAGAGAGAGAAAUUGAUGACCCUGUCGUUGUAGCAUCCCCAUCACCCAGCAAUUAAUUUUAGUUCAAUGCUUCAAACGCUCUUCAGGCGCAGUGUGCGUUCAGCUGUGUCAGCUAAUGCAAAUGGGGGAUCUCAGAAGUCUUAAUGAAGUAACUAUCCCUGAACACUGGGAUCAAUACUCAGCAUCCAGCUGUCAAAUCAACACCAAGCGUUUCACUCGUCGCCCAGCCUAGAGUGCAAUGGCGCUAUUUCGGCUCAUUAUAACCUCCGCCUCCCGGGUUCAAGCAAUUCUUCUGCUUCAGCGUCCCAAGUAGCUGGGAUUACAGGUGAGCACCAUCAUGCCUGGCUAAUUUUGUAUUUUUAGUGGAGAUGGGGUUUCACCAUACUGGCCAGGCCGGUUUCAAACUCCUGACCUCAGGCGAUCCGCCCUCCUUGGCCUCCCAAAGUGCUGGGAUUACAGGGAUGAGCCACCACCGCGCCCGGCCUUGAUGUACUUUUUCUAUUAAAUGAUCUAAGAACAAUUUUACGGGCAGAAAGUAUGACUGUAAUAAAUGUAUGCAAUCCAAAACUACCACCCACCAUCUAUGAAAAUACAAAAAUCAAGCUGUCAUGCCAAAUCUAACUGGUUACUUCUGUUUCUCUGCUAAUAGUCGUUAGCUACACUCAUUUAUUUGUUUUAUUGUGACAGUGUCCACUGUCAGAUAAGUAAGAGCAGGUGCUGAAAUUUUAAGAAACAUUUGAGGGAACAUUUUCAAUGGAAUCUGUUGAAGUUGAGGUGCCUUUAGUACACUAGUAUAACUGCAUCACCCCUGAGUGUUAGCGAUAAGUGCAAUGAUUUAAUUUUACUGUGGAACUCCCAAGUCCAGCUUAUGGAAUAAAUUCCGGAUCAUAGUUUGAGAACUACUGGCUUAAAGGGUCCCAUUUCUUGCUUCUUUAAGUGUCAAACAGUGACUGUGAG